GUGAAGGGAGCUGAAGAAGAAGCAGGUGGAGAGGGAGCACACAGUAGGGGAGGGAACAGGCUGACAACUGUGUGGUUGUACCAUCUGAAGGAUCUUGUGAAUUUACAGUUGGGACAACUGGGAGCCCCAGAGGAUGAAGUUAGAAAUGGAAAGUGUCUGGGGCUGGGAAAAGGGCUUCUCCCUAGGAUACACUGCAGGAUUAACUGGGAAAGUCUGGCAAGAUUCCUGUCACCCUCUCCACACCCAGGACUGACCUGUGAUGUCACAGGUCACAAGCAGGACUGAAGGUUUUACUGUUAUCAAUAUAUGUCCACUUUGGCUGCUCUGAACUGGAGCCCACUAUUCCGCAGGGAGCAGAGCCACGAAGGGCUCACACUAUCAAAGCAAUCACCAUGGGAGGCUUGGCCCCAGAGGCCAACUUCUGCCUCCUGAAUCCUCCCUUCCCCUUGGCCAGAGGCUUAGUCACACUGGUGGGGCCCUCUACUUCCUUGUAUGGCCAGAGAAGAGGAGCCAGAGAGUAACGCUGGGCAAACAGCUUGAUCCCUGGGACUCCUCCAGUAUCUGCACUGCUUUGGGCAGAUUCCAAAGAGCAGACAAGCCAGGGAGAGAGAGACAAGGAGCACUAAAAUAGCUUCCGGCUGCUUUCCUUGGGCUACAGAAGCAGAGGCUCUGCAGCAAGCUGGGUGGCGCAUGGACUAGUUAGUGUGGACUGCAAGUACCCUACACCCCAGAAGUAGAGGCAAAACCAAGGUGGCAGGGGACCACAAAUACUUCUUUGCUUAAUGCAGUGAAGUAGAAAAUACCCAGCAAUUGCUCUGUGAAAUUUACUUUAGCUACGUUGAAUCUUGUUUUUGAGGCAGGGUUUCACUACAUGGUUCAGGCUGGAUUUGGACUCACUUUGUAGCCCAGGCUGGCCCCAGACUUACAGCAAUCCUCCUGCCUCAGCCUCCUGAGUGGUAUAUUGAAUCUUAAGUAAAAUUCAUUUCUUUAUGUUAUUAAUUUUUAAAAAAAUUUAGUUUGAUUGAAUUAUAAUUUAGUAACAGUGUUAAGAGCUUGCGGUUUAGCCCAGUGGUAGAGUCCAGUGUUUGCCUAGCAUGGCCAAAGCUCUAUAUUCAGUGCCAGUACUACAAAGAUAAAAGUUUUAAAAUGAUGUGAGGAAAUGAUACAUCUGGUUUUUCUAGUCUCCCUUCCCCCACCAUUGGCUCUUCUGUAGGAUGCCCCUAGCUUGAAGCUAGAGCCAGGUCCCAGAGGACACACGGCAGGCUAUGCAGAGCAUGGUGCUCAUCAGGGACAAUGCCAGAUUCCUCUACCAGGCCUCUCAAGUGUACCUCACCACCACAGCAGACCUCCGGAUCUCAGGAAGCAGGCGGGGCUUUUCCUUUGCACAGUGUUUUCAUGAGGGCCCCAGCCUGCAUGCCUGCCAUGAAUAUGGAAUAUUUUUCGGCAGUGCUGACUGACUGAUUUCCAUUUUUUAGAAAUGGUGCUUAGACUCAAACCCAAGGUCCCAAGAAUGUAAAGCCUGUGCUCUAACAACACCACAUCAUAGCCAGACCACUCCAUUUUUCUUAUAUAGGAACUAACAAGCCUCUUUUUUUGUUAUAUUCCCUAGUGAGCAGAUCAGAGCCAGAGCCCAUUUUACUGGUUUAUUGUAUCUUUAAGACAUUCAGGAUUGGGGAAAAAAAUGGCUGCUUGCUAGGAAGCUGGACAGAGAACCUCUCUGGGAAAAACAGCCCAGAUGCUAGAAUCUGACAACAUAGAGAGGGCCAGAUGAUUGGAGAAUGAUUCUCACUAACCCAGGAGGAAACUGAAAGAAAAAUAAAAUUAGGAAGAGGAAGGAAAAGUGCAGGUGGAGGGCUGAAGCCUGAAAUGCUCACUGAGACCCGUUCUGUGCUGUGCUGGGUGCACCGUGGAGACAGACGAUUCAAGGUCAUGCAGAAGCUGCGGCUGCCAAUAACGGGAGCUGAAUCGAUGAAGCAGCAAGAAGCUAGAUUACCAGAUGCUAAGAAGUUUGAUAUCAAAUCCCAAAAUGACACUGUCACUGACAGCCACCAUGAACUGCAACCCCACCAUGCCACCCUGCCUUGGAGCCAGUUGACUAUGGACUGAAACCACCCAAAACUGUGCCAAGGUGGACAACAACAGCACCAACAGCAACAGCAACAACAAACUUACGUGUAUGACCCUGGUUUACACAGAAACUGAACAUGCUGCAAACUUAUAAAUGAGAGAUUCAUGUUGAACAUUACGGCUUAAGUCUUCUUGAAGAAAUAAAACCAGCACAUUUCAAACUGGGAUUUUCUGACAGAGUCAGUAAGAAAAGACAAUAUCAAUAAAGGAACUACAAUCCAGAUUAGGAUCAUCAUUACCAUGCACAGUACUUGGAACUCCAGCACCAUUUAUUAAAGAGACUAUCUUUCUUCCAGUGAACAUAUUUGGCUCAUUUGUCAAAGGAAAAAUCCAGGAUCUGAAAUACUAUGAAGAUUCCGGAGGAAGAACCAAGCAAAUAUCUGCAGUUUACAGGAGUCAGCUCUUCAGAUAUUUAAAUUUACAUAUGUCUUUUGCUCUAAUCUGCUCUAAUCUUUUUUUUUGUUUUAUUUCUUUAAAAUUUUUACAUCUAAGGCCAUUCUUGAUUUAAAGAAAAGUUGAGAAAAUACUAUAGAAUUCUCAAACACCUAAUACACUUUAUCUUAUUAUUGAUGUCAUUCAUCGGUAUAGUGCAUUUGUUAAAAUUAAUGAACACUUAUUCUACAUAGAGAAAAUGCAUAGUUUAUUCAGGUUUCCUUAGAUGCUGCCUAAGAUGAUACCUGCUCUGGUAUCCCAUAUGAGAUAUACCCUAAGAUCUAGAAACUCAGAGGUUUCUCUUUGAUGUGACUGUCUCUUAUACUGUAAAACCUUGGAUUGCGAGUAACUUGUUCUGUGAGUGUUCUGCAAGAUGAGCAAAGAUUUCUAAUAAAUUUUAACUUGAUAAACCA